rnacentral:rRNA from 1 species
CCCCAAAUAUAUGUUAAGUGGAAAAGGAUGUGGGGUUGCUUAGACAAACAGGAUGUUGGCUUAGAAGCAGCCACCAUUGAAAGAGUGCGAAAUAGCCCACUGGUCGAGUGACCCCGCGCCGAAAAUGAACCGGGGCUAAACAUAUUACCGAAACUGUGGACGAACCUCUUUAGAGGCUCGAGGUAAGAGAGCGCUCCAAGGGCAGUGACGUCAGACCGGAGGGACUGCUGGAGUGCUUAGACGUGAGCAUGACGGUAUGAGCAGCGGAAGAAGCGUGCGAAUCCCUUCCACCCACGAUGUCAGGUGUCCUCAGGACGGC